AAGACUAUACUUUCAGGGAUCAUUUCUAUAGUUUCUGACUUGAGAAAUGUGUUUCUAACUUGUAUGGUCUCGCUAACCACGAUGAUGAGUCGUGAUGCUCUCUUCUGAGCGUGAAGCGGAUAGGAAGUAACGAUUCAGUUCGUACGCUUACUAUCAUUGAUGAUCGUUCUUUAUUCCGUUACGGAGUAAUGAGGAAGGGAGUAUGAUCAGAGUGGUU
ensembl:snoRNA